UCAAACUGAGAACACUUACACAUAGACCAAUACAUUCAUCCAUUCAAUCUACUUUUAUUCCGGAAGACAUUUAAGUACACUGAAGUCCUUUCAUGGACCAGCAUGUCCAAGGUUUACAGAUGACAAUACAUAAAUAUCCUUGCUUCUGUCUUAAUUUGAAGACUUUCAUAGAAUAUAGAAAACAGCUGGCAUGAGGAAAUACGAAAUCAAGGGGAAGCAGAGGAGUCAACAGAAGUGAAAGCACUCUGCUUAUUUAACAACAUAUGGAUGACCUCCUAGUGAUUCCAGGGCAAAUAGAUUCUACUUGUGCCAUUUCAGAAAAAUGGAGAUUUGUCCUUAUAUUUUUAUGUAACUUAUAGAAAUGGUGAGUUAUAGCAGAAAGAGUAUAGAUUUUGGGAUCAGAUGGCCUUAAAUUCAAAACCUGGAUCUACCAGUGACUAUUCAUUGGCUCUUUAAAUCUACUUCUUGAGUUACUGUCACCUCUAUCUCCUUAGUUUCUCUUUUUUCUCUAAGUUUAUUAAUACUCUCAGAGUUUUCCUUCAGUUGUAGUUUAGCCAGGACCUCAUGGUGGGUCACUUUAGCCACUCUUAUUAACACUCUUAGCAUCCUGACCUUUUUCUGUAUUCAGCCUGCAAACUCUGGCCCGUUCAAACAUUCACUUCUCAUUCAUGUGAUGGUCGUUUGGAGGGAAGGACCCGAGUUCAUCAUACUCAUGAAGCUUGAUAUUUCUCUGUUCUGCUCCCUAGCUUCAGUGGGGCUCCCCAGAUCAUGUGAAAAUUCAUCUAAAGCUUUGAUCAGUUCCUGUUCCUGUUACCCACUGUGGGUUGCUGUUCUAAAUGUUCACCACUCUUCUGAAAUUCCUGUCACUACCACUUUACUCUCAGCAGAUGAUCUUGCCUGCAACUGUGUGGAGAGUAUUGAGGUUCUCAGACAGAAACUCUUUAGUUUACCUGUGAGAACCUGAACAAUUAUCUAUAUCUGAGCACACCUCACCAUUGUAUCCUUCCUCAGAACAAGACGUGGGCUAAGUCCUUCUGUGAUCUUGAUAUCAUCUUUUUUCCCCCAGAAUUAUGUUCCCUUUUUCCCCUCUCUCUCCCACAUUAACACCCUCUUACUUUUUGUUAGUAUUUAUUUCACAGCCAAAGACAUAUUCAGAGUUUUCCCAUCAACUCCAUAUUCCACCUUUGCCAACCAGCUCGGCUGGGGAGACCCUAACCCAGCGGCGCUAGAGGAAUUAAAGACACACACACAGAAAUAUAGAGGUGUGGAGUGGGAAAUCAGGGGUCUCACAGCCUUCAGAGCUGAGAGCCUCGAACAGAGAUUUACCCACGUAUUUAUUGACAGCAAGCCAGUGAUAAGCGUUGUUUCUAUAGAUUAUAGAUUAACUAAAAGUAUUCCUUAUGGGAAACAAAGGGAUGGGCCGAAAUAAAGGGAUGGGUUUGGCUAAUUAUCUGCAGCAGGAGCAUGUCCUUAAGGCACAGAUCGCUCAUGCUAUUGUUUGUGGCUUAAGAAUGCCUUUAAGCAGUUUUCCACCCUAGGUGGGCCAGGUGUUCCUUGCCCUCAUUCCAGUUAACCCACAACCUUCCAGUGUGGGCAUCGUGGCCAUCAUGAACAUGUCACAGUGCUGCAGAGAUUUUGUGUAUGGCCAGUUUUGGGGCCAGUUUAUGGCCAGAUUUUGGGGGAGCCUGUUCCCAACACACCUUAGCUGCUGUCUUGUUUCUCUCUCUUCAGUCCUUGUUAAAUUUCCAUAAAGCAGAGUCAGUUCCAAGGGUAGCAGUCUCAAAUGUCUGUUUGAGACUAGAAAGGUAAUAAUGACAAUGGGCAAAGAGGGCUGAGCGAAAGGUAAUUGUGGGCUCACCUUUGUCUGAAACUGACAGUCUAUCCUGUUCUUUGUUCUUAUAUGUGAAUAUGGGUCCAGUUUGGCCAAAACUUCUGAUUUUUUUUCCAAGGAAAUCAGAAAAUCUGGAUUUUUAUUUUAAAUUUCUCAAUAUUUAAAACACUGUGCAAUCCUAAUAAAGGACAUAUGUGGGCUGAGUUUGGAUUAUGGGCCUCCAGUUUUUAAUUCUUGGCCUACACUAGCUAUCUUGAUGUCUCAUGGUAUUUGAUCAACUUACUGCAGAAAGUUUUCUGCCUCUAACGCUCUUCUAAAACUUAUUUAGACCAGUGUUUCUUAGAGGUUUCAGAUUAAAGGUUUAAGAUUCAUGUGCCCAUGAAUCUUUUGGGGAUCACGUUAAAACACAAGAUUCAAUUCUGAUUCAGUAGCUCUAGGAUGAGGCCUGAGUUUUGCAUUCUAGCAAGCUGCAGUCCAAGGACCACACUUUGAGGAGCAAGGCUUCUGAGGACCUGCUUAUCUUUAGAGAUUUAUCUCAAGAUAAGCUGUUUAAGCCUUCUCCCUCCCCUGAUACCACUAAUAAAAGGGCCCUUUUUUUUUCUGUGCACCUGAUGUACCCUAAUCCAAUCUCUAUAAAUAUACCUAUAAUUAUUUAUUUUAUGUAUGUGUUUAUGUGCCUGCUUAUAAGUGCUUUCAUGGCAAGAAACAUGUCUUAACUUUUUCCCCCUCAAGCACUACUGCAAUAUUGGAAAUAAAGUAAACUUUGUCCAUCUGUUCUCAUUUCAUGUAAUACAGUCCGUAAGAC
rnacentral:lncRNA from 1 species